AUGCUUGCAGAGGCACUGCAGCAGGCAAAGAAGAUAAACCCCUAUCUGAGGCUCCAGUUUCUUCAGCUUUGGCCCUCUUGGGCCUUCGAACACAGACUGAAGACUGCGCUGUUGGCUUCACGACUUUGGAGGUUUUGGAACUCCAACUGGCUUCCUUGUUCUUCAGCUUGCAGACGGCCUACUGUGGGACGUCACCUUGAGAUCGUGAGGGCAAAGCCAAGAAGUGAUUUUCCCCCCUCCCUGCCACGGGAACUGUGACCUAAUUCUCAUUCCUAAUCACAGAAUCAAAGGAGAAAUUUAUUUCAAUGAGCUAGUCUGAAAGAGCUAUUUGCCAAAUGGCUUUCUUUCCAAUACUUAAUGAAAAGAUGCAUUUUGUACUACUUUCAAAAAGGGAUGUUUCAUAUAUCCUCGUUUUUAAAUGUUGUUUAGAAGAGGAAGGAAUGCCGUGGUUUAAGGGAUAUGGACAGGAGACGGAAAUACUGGGUAGAAAAGGGCAGUUCCCUGGCAAAGCCUCACCCUCAAGCCUGGAUACCUGCUGUCUUAAACGAAAACGAAAACAGGCAUUUCUGUGUUCAUGCUCCAAAAGUUAUCUUUUGGCCUGCCACACCCCCUAUCCUGCACCCAUAUGAAUCCCGAACCCCAGACUCCAGAAGCAGACCAGCAAGCCCGCAGACCAGCAGAAGGAUGGCAGAACGAUGUGGCAGAGAAAGGGAGAAGAGGAGGAACAUCUGAAUGCCAAAAUGAGUUCAGCUGGGGGCAGUCAGAGAGGAGUCCAGCCACUGGGCAGCCAGAAUCCAGGGGAGGAUCACCUUUCCACUUCAUCCCCUUCCUCUGCCUCCCCAUCCAUCCUGCUGAAAGCCACCUCCACCACUCAAUAAAACC
rnacentral:lncRNA from 1 species